AAAUCUCACAAAUGAAACAUUUUUUGUUUCAAAUUGUGGACUUGGAUUUGCGAUCCUUGGAUUGCUAAUCUGAAAUGAAUUUCAUGAAGAUUAACUUGCUUUGAAAUCUUUGCUUAAUAGUUUUGCUUUGUCAAAUCUUUUGCAAUUGAUUUCAAAAGCCAAAAAAGUGGAUUGAUUUUUUACGAAAUCUAAAAUCUCAUU
rnacentral:misc_RNA from 1 species